rnacentral:tRNA from 1 species
UGGCUCAGCUGGAUAGAGUACUCGGCUACGAACCGAGCGGUCGGAGGUUCGAAUCCUCCCGGAUGCACCA